rnacentral:rRNA from 1 species
AAUGAACGCUGGCGGCGUGCUUAACACAUGCAAGUUGAGCGAGAACGUUUCUUCGGAAACUAGUACAGCGGCAAACGGGUGAGUAACGCGUGAGAACCUGCCCUUUAGUGAAGAAUACCCUCGAGAAAUCGAGAUUAAUACUGCAUGAGUCCCUGCGGGGAGGAAAGGUAGGCGUUUAUUGCUACCGCUAAAGGAAGGGGCGUUGCGUACUAUCAGCUAGUUGGUAGGGUAAGUUGCCUACCAACGGCUAUGACGGUUAGCCGGCCUGAGAGGGUGUACGGCCACAUUGGAACUGAGACACGGUCCAGACUCCUACGGGAGGCAGCAGUGAGGAAUAUUGCGCAAUGGGCGAAAGCCUGACGCAGCGACGCCGCGU